UGCAGCAGUAUGAAUUUUGUCAGGAGCUA
rnacentral:piRNA from 1 species